ensembl:lncRNA
GGAAAAAGACUUUAUUGAAGACUACAAUGAGAAAAACUAGCAGACGGCUGCAUUCAAGGUGAGCUCUGAACAUUUGAUCUGGAACAGGAAUUCAAUAACAGCAGCAUGAGCUUCAUUUCAGUCUGUAGCUGCUGAAUUCAUGGAUGAAUCAUCUGGCACUAGAGAGGAAGACCAUCAAACAUCCACGUCAGCUGAUGGAGGUCCAAGAGUCUCACCCAACAAACAACCUACAGAGUGAAGACCUCUAACCUGAUUGGACGGCCUCCUAUUCAGCCACGUGCUGUUAGAUUGUUCCAGAUAAGACAAGUACAAGAUUCUUCAGAGCCGUUCUACCACGAGCCUGACAGGAAGAACUCCAACAGCUACUGAAUGUUCCUGUGGUCCCCUCAAGGCUACAGGAGGAGCCCUAUGAGGACGAGCCGGUCCACCUGAUGGCAGCCAGUCGCUGCGGUUCAAAGCCAACACCGACUACGUGGACUUCUACUGGACCACAUGGAGACCUUCAGACCAGACCAACAAGAUCACCGACUCCCCAACAUUUUCCAAGUGACCACAUGGGUGGAGCCAAGGCGGAGUCUGGGUGGAGUCAGGGCGGAGAGUAGGCGGGGAGGU